CCUGUUAAGUCAGGCAACGAGCGAGACCCACGCCAACAGUUGCCAGCUCGUCCUCCCGGGGAUGGUGGGGACGACUGUUGGGACCGCCUCUGCUAAAGAGGAGGAAGGAAUGGGCAACGGUAGGUCAGCAUGCCCCGAAUUAUCUGGGCUACACGCGGGCUACAAUGGGUGGGACAAUGGGUAUCGACACCGAAAGGUGAAGGCAAUCUCCUAAACCCAUCCGUAGUUCGGAUUGUGGGCUGCAACUCGCCCACAUGAAGCUGGAAUCUGUAGUAAUCGUGUCUCAAAAUGGCACGGUGAAUAUGUCCCUGCUCCUU
rnacentral:rRNA from 1 species